rnacentral:rRNA from 1 species
UACGAAGGGGGCUAGCGUUGUUCGGAUUUACUGGGCGUAAAGGGCAUGCAGGCGGCCAGACAAGUUGGAGGUGAAAUCCCAGGGCUCAACCCUGGAACUGCCUUCAAAACUGUCAGGCUAGAGAUCGAGAGAGGUGAGUGGAAUUCCUAGUGUAGAGGUGAAAUUCGUAGAUAUUAGGAGGAACACCAGUGGCGAAGGCGGCUCACUGGCUCGAUACUGACGCUCAUAUGCGAAAGCGUGGGGAGCAAACAGG